rnacentral:rRNA from 1 species
AUUGAACGCUGGCGGCAGGCCUAACACAUGCAAGUCGAACGAGUGGCGGACGGGUGUGUCAUGUCUGGGAAACUGCCUGAUGGAGGGUGAUAACGACUGGACACGGUCGCUAAUACCGCAUACCAUGGGUAGUGCCCAGAUGGGUUUAGCUAGUAGGUGGGGUAAAGGCGCACCUAGGCGACGAUCCCUAGCUGGUCUGAGAGGAUGACCAGCCACACUGGAACUGAGACACGGUCCAGACUCCUACGAGAGGCAGCAGUGGGGAAUAUUGCACAAUGGGCGCAAGCCUGAUGCAGCCAUGCCGCGUGUAUGAAGAAGGCCUUCGGGUUGUAAAGUACUUUCAGCGGGGAGGCGUUACCCGCAGAAGAAGCACCGGCAAACUCCGUGCCAGCAGCCGCGGUAAUAC